rnacentral:rRNA from 1 species
UCAGGACGAACGCUGGCGGCGUGCCUAAUACAUGCAAGUCGAACGGUCUUUCUAUGGAAGCUUGCUUCCACUGAGAAGAUAGUGGCGAACGGGUGAGUAACACGUGGGUAACCUGCCCAUAAGAGGGGGAGUAACUUCCGGAAACGGGUGCUAAUACCGCAUAGUUUUCUUGAUCGCAUGAUUGAGAAAGGAAAGACGGCCUUUGUGCUGUCGCUUAUGGAUGGACCCGCGGCGUAUUAGUUAGUUGGUGAGGUAAUGGCUCACCAAGACGAUGAUACGUAGCCGACCUGAGAGGGUGAUCGGCCACAUUGGGACUGAGACACGGCCCAAACUCCUACGGGAGGCAGCAGUAGGGAAUCUUCCGCAAUGGACGAAAGUCUGACGGAGCAACGCCGCGUGAGUGAAAGAAGGUUUUCGGAUCGUAAAACUCUGUUGUCAGAGAAGAACAAGUUGGAGAGUAACUGCUCCAGCCUUGACGGUAUCUGACCAGAAAGCCACGGCUAACUACGUGCCAGCCGCCGC